rnacentral:rRNA from 1 species
UACGUAGGGUGCGAGCGUUUAAUCGGAAUUACUGGGCGUAAAGCGUGCGCAGGCGGUUAUGUAAGACAGAUGUGAAAUCCCCGGGCUCAACCUGGGACCUGCAUUUGUGACUGCAUAGCUAGAGUACGGUAGAGGGGGAUGGAAUUCCGCGUGUAGCAGUGAAAUGCGUAGAUAUGCGGAGGAACACCGAUGGCGAAGGCAAUCCCCUGGACCUGUACUGACGCUCAUGCACGAAAGCGUGGGGAGCAAACAGG